rnacentral:lncRNA from 1 species
UCCCCUUUAUCCUGUGACUUGGGUUACAGUUGGCCAAAAGAGGAACUUGCAUAAAUAUGGAAGGUGGAAAUGGAGAUGAAGCCAUAAUUCUCUGAAGGUCUUGUAGUCAGAUGUAGUGACAGACGGACGCAUAAAUUCCCAGCAAGUUCCAGCUUGUCUUUGAUCUCCUCCACUCUGCCAUAGUUCUUCCUUGUAAAUGCUUACCCCACUGUUACAGAUGUGGUUUCUUGCCUGAAGGAAAACAACGUAUGCUCUAGCAGCUAUUGAUAUGGCACAAGCUUUUUUCUCAAUGCCCAUUAAUGAAGACCACCAGAAACAGUUGUCUGAUUCAUCAGAUCCAGCGGUUGUUGGAGGGUCUUGAUAGAGGUCCACUGCAGAAAAGCAUUUGGCAAGCCUUUGUAGGUGGAUUGCAACACAGACCUUUUGAAACUUUGAAGCAAAAUUAUAUGGUCCUCUCUCAAUUACUGUUCUUUUGAGAAACAGCUUUGGGCUUAUUACUGGGCCCUAGUAGUGACUAAACUCCUUUGACUGCGGGCCACCAAGUUACCAGGCAAUCUGAGCUGCCCAUCACAAAGGGAGUAAUGUCUGACUCCAAAAACUAUAAUAUGGGGUGUGCACAAUAUCACUUCAUCAUCAAGUGGGAGAGAUAUGUAAAAGCAGGUCCUGAAGAUACAAGAAAUUGCAUCAGCAAGUGGCAUAAAUUGCCAUGAAACCCACUUUUGGUACAUGGCCUCUCGUCUCUUAACAUCACCUAUGGCCUAUGAUGUUCUUUAUGAUCAGUUGAUUGAGGAAGGAAAAAAAAAAAUAAGUCAAGUUUAAUGACAUUUCUACCAAAAAUACUGGCAGAAUUUGAAACUGGAUGCCUGCAGUGCUAUAACUCAACUCAGGUGUGUCUAUGAAGAACAGUGUUGAAGAGGAAUCUUCCCAGUGGGCAAAAUUCCAAGUAUUACACCUGGCUGGUUUAUAUGCCUGGAAGGAGAGAUGAACAAAGCUAUUGCUCUACAUUAAUUCAUGAGCAAUCUCUAACAAUUUGGACUUGGAAGGAAGAUGAUUGGAGAAUUUGGAGGCACUGGGUUCUGGAGAAGAGGUAUGAGGAGAGACCUCUUUGAAAGAGCACAGAAUUUGAUAUUUGUGUCCCAGGUGAAUGCUAACCAAGGAGCAACUUCACUGGAGAAAGAUCUUAAUCAGAUGGACAAGACAACCUCUUUUGAGGAUGUCAGCCAGCCUCUUUCCCCAGUCACUCCUGUCCUUGACCAAGGUACUCAUAAAUAAAAUGACCAUGGCUGCAGGAAUAGAGGCUGUCCGUGUUGCUAGUUUAAAAUCCAGUCUGGGAGUUCCUGCCAUGGCUCAGUGGAAACGAAUCCAACUAGGAACCAUGAGGUUGCGGGUUCGAUCCCUGGCCUUGCUCAGUGGGUUAAAGAUCUGGCAUUGCUCUGCCAGCCUACAACACAGCCACAGCAAUGUGGGAUGUAAGCUGCAUCUGCGACCUAUAGCACAGUUCAGGGCAACGCUUAACCCACUGAGUGAAGCCAGGGAUCAAACCCAUGUCCUCGUGGAUACUAGUCAAGUUCAUUACCACUGAGCCACAAUGGGAACUCCUCACUGAUGUUUUUAUUUGGUAAUUAUAUGUAGUUAAAGGAAUGUGUGUACAUACCAAGUUGACAAUGAAUGGACUAUGCUGGAUUGUGAUGUGUCAGCUUGGAUAAUGUGAGAACUUCAUUUCCUAGAAUUCUAUUUUUUGUAUGAGUUGGUCAAGAGAGGAACUUGUCCUGGGUUUGUAAGGCUGAAUUGAAUACUUGUUAAGGGUUGUUAUGGUCAGAUGUGGUGAUAGAUAACAGAGGUGCCUAUCAUGUUCAUCUUGUCCUUUCCCAUUAGCAUUUAUAUAUGUUUUUCCAAUCUUUAAAUAUCUCUCUAUUAACUUCACGUCCCCUUCCAUGCUACCAUCUCUUCUUUCCUGCUGUGUCCUCAAUCCUCUGCUACCGGCCUCUGUCACAUCCUUCUCCUUAAAACUGUUCUUCUCUCUAUACUCUUUCCCCUCCUGGAUUUCUAUUACUAUUACAUGCUGAUGAUGUUUGAGAAUAUAUCUAUCCAGAUGUCUCUUGAGUUUCAUACCUGCAUAUCCAGUGACCUACUCAACACUGCCACCUGGAUGACAGACAGGCACCUACAACUCAGUGUGUCCAUAACUAAAUGCAUCGUAUUUCCCCUCAAAACCAUACCUCCUUCAUAUCUCACUUAAUAGUACCAUCAUCUAUGCAGUUUCCCAAGCCAGAAACCUGUUCACUCACCUUAUUUAGUUUUCUUUUAUCUUUUUUUUUUAAUGGCUACGCCUGCAGCAUGCAGAAGUUCCCAGGCCAGGAAUCCAACUUGUGCCACAGAAGUGACAACACUGGAUCCUUAACCUGCUGAGCCACCAGGGAAGUCCAGGUUUCUUUUAUCUUUUGCCUGGAUUAUUACAACAGUCAUUAUUCCUAAAGUUGUGACAAUCCAAUUAAAAAAUACAACUGUAAUGCACCAUACAAACACUGUGGUUUAUCUUCACUAUAGAUCCAUAUUAACCUUGAGAAUGUGGGGUAGUAAAUCUCCAUCUUGUGGAAGAAGUUGCACCUAAGGUGAACAAAAGGAAAACAUGCUUUACAAUACUGGACAUUGUCAGUGUGUUAUAACUGGUGACAGUGCUAUUCAUUUCACAAGUAUUAUUAAUUUCCUACCAUGAGCUGGGAACCAUGCCUGUAGGAGAUGCUUUCAAGGCAUUGAUUUCCUGUGUACUUUUUUGGUAUCCUGCACUAUGUGACAUGUAUGAAAAAGCCUUGGUCUUUAUGCUUAAGGGGCUGUCAACUCUCUUUAGUCACUACUCAUGUCAAAUGAUAUCUCAGAUGGCCCCAUCUAAUACUGAGUUCCUCCCACAGGCAGUGCUGCAAUAAAGUUCCUUCCACGACCCAUUAUUCUCAAAGAAAAAAUUAAUUUCAGAGGACUUAUGUAGACAUAUGUAGGCUGUUGUCUAGAUGCAAGGAUUCUGUAAAAGCACCAAUUUAAAAAGCUCUAUAAAGAAGAUGGGGUACAUAUAUACAAUGGAAUAUUACUCACCCAUAAAAAAGAAGAAAAUAAUGCCUUUUCAGCAACAUGGAAGGACCUAGAGAUUUUCAUACUGAGUGGAGUAAGUCAGAGAAAGACAAAUAUCAUAUGAUAUAUGUGGAAUCUAAUAAAAUGAUACAAAAGAAUUUAUUUAUAAAACAUAAAGUCACAGAUUUUAAAACCAAUCUUAGGAUUAUCAUGGGUAAAACCAUUGGGGUAGGGUGGAAUUGGGAGGGUGGAAAUAACAAAUACACAGUAUUAUAUAAAACAGGUGAUUAACAGAAACCUACUGUGUAGUACAGGAAAAUCUACUCAAUAGUUUGUAAUAAUGUAUAUGGGAAAAAGAAUGGACAUGUAUACACACACAUAUCCAUUUGUAUUAUAAAGAUUCAUUUUGCUAUACAACUGAAACUAAUACAACAUUGUAAGGCAACUCUAUGCCAAAAAAAAUUAAAUCAAAAGCCGUGUAUGAGGAUUCUUUUUUGGUGACACUUAGGGAUUACCUCCUUUGGACCUGAGUUAAACUGCAAAUAAUCAGUUUAACUCCAUAAUGAAUUCAGCUUUGUGCUCAGCCCAUUCCCAGAACCUCUGGAUGAAUUGUGAGAAGAAAACCUAUUUAUUCUGGGACAUCACCACUUUGGGAUAAAUUCCUGGAAGCCAUCAGAAAAGCAAAGGGAAAAUCUUUCUCAGAGUCUCUUCUCUGGAUUUCUGAGAAAGAAGUGUUUCAUGUUUGGCAUGUCAAGUUGCUUUUACUUUGAGUCCAUGGAUUGCCCCUUAUUCAAUUCUCUUUGAACCUAAUUCUCGCUGUCCAUCCAGAGGCCUAGGUCUCCUAUGGGAAGGUAAUUCAGCCUUUCUUGUGUCUUCCUCAGACAGCAGAUCUUUCUCUGAGCACAGUCUUCAUAUUAUCAGUUACAAAAUAAUUUUAAAAUGACACGUAUGUGUACUUUACAUUUCACAAAACUCUUUUCAUGUUUUUUAGUUCAUUUAAUCCUAAAUGCAGUGCAGAGAGGCAGAGCCAUGCGGAACCUGAGGCUCAGAGAAAAGUAACCUGUCUAAAAUCACAUAGCUGUUGGAUGACAGACCUCACAAAGAACCCAGACAUUCUAACUCACAUCUUUCAGCUCUUUCUCCCCAUAUUCAUCUAGUGGCCACAGCAAUUUCUAGUCCUGACCCAUUUUGAAAAUAUUCUGAAAUCUGAAUAAAACUGUGUUCAUAUUAGGAGCCAAGGAACACUGAUGACUCUCCUGGGGACUAGUUUGAUUGUAGGAACACAGAAAGCCCCCCUAAGCGACAAUCCCCAGGACUUACCAAGAGCAAGGAAAUGUAGGCCUUCUCCUGAGGCAGUAGUUCUCAACUCUGGCUACAUAUUGAAAACACCUGGGGAGAUUUAAACACCAUAGAAGCCUGGGUUCUAGAUUUAAUUUAUAUUGAAUUGGUCUUAGGGGCAGCUAGGCCAUUAGAUAGUUGAAAUACUCCCCAGAUGAUACUAAUAUGCAGCCAAGAUUGAGAAACAUCGCCUGAGGGCUACCACAUGUUUGCCUAUUCCUUGAAGGACCUGUGUUCUUCUCUCUUUCUCUCUGCAAAUGCUUAUUACACCAAUCAUAUAUGAUUGGUGAAUAAAAUCUAGAAAAUACAAGAAGCAGGAUUAAGAUGGCAGAGUAGGAGUACCCUACAUUCACCUCCCUACAACGAACCCAUCAAACCUACAACUACAUGUACUCUGAGGACGAUGUGAAGACUAGCAGAAGGACUCUUCUGCACCCAAGGCUGUAAAGAAAGAACUGCACAGAGUCUGGUAGAAAGGGAGGAGAGGCAAUCUAGUUAGGACCUGCACCCCUAGUGGGAUACCUAGAAGAGGAGGGGCAUAUCACAGGCUUGGGGAUCCUCCAUAAGGAAUGGGGUUUGAGCCCCAUAUUAGGCAUUCCAGCCCUGGGGUUUGAUCCUGGGAAGAUGAGCCCUUUAGCUGGUUUGAAAACCCAUGGGAUUUAGGGGAGGGCUGUAAAAAACCAAAACUGCGCCUGAAGAGCACAUGCACAGACUUGCUCUCAGAUCCAGAUUGGAAGCAGCAGGUUGAAAAUUGCCCGGUGCUCUGGGGCUCUGCCAGGAUCACCCAAGCCUGCCCCCCACCCCCCCAUGGCUGACUCCUGCUCCAGCACCUCCUGCUCUACUGCUGCUCCCUGCUAAGGCUGAGGCCACCUUUGCCAAUGAAUGUGCUUGUGCUUGGAGGGAGCUGAACCCUUGGUGUGGCCCUGCCUCUAGCCAGGCUGGGACCACCACUGCUGGCAUGUGCUCACACCAGGGAAGGAGCAGAAUCAGUUCAACAGCAUAGCCCCAGCCACUUUAACCUUGCUCUCACCAAGGCACACACAUUGGAGAAAAAGUGAAACCAGCUCAGAAGAGCAGCCCCAAGCCCUUGGGCCCUGGUAGUGUUCCCAAACAAGGUGGAGACUGCCAUCACACUGGGGAGAAGCCUGAUUCCCUCAGCGCUCCUGCUCCAACCCCUCAGGCACUGGUUCCAUCUCAGUUGGAGGGUGGUGACUGCCAUUGAGCCUAGGAGAAACUCCAGUUUGCACAUGGCUCUGGAUCUAGUCUCAUUGACUCUAGCUCUACCUACCACCAAGGUGGUGGCUGGCAGUACACCGUGGGGAAGACAUGACCCAUGCUUGCUUCAGAUCCAGCUCUCCCACUAAUGUCACUGGAUACAUGCAGACUGCAUAUGGACACUCUCAUGCAAGCACAUGCCUCCCAGACCAGGAUAGGUAACUGUUUCACCUAAUUUCAUAGAGACAAACAGAGAAAGGUAAACAAAAUAAGAAAACUGAGGAUUAUGUUUCAAACAAAAGACCAAGAUAAAACUCUUGGAAAAAAAUCCUAAUGAAACAGAGACAAAUAAUUUACCUGAUAAAGGGUUCAAAGCAAUAGUAGUGAGAAUGCUAAUGGUACUUGGGAAAAGAAUAGAUGAACACAUGAGAGCUUCAAUAAAGCACUAGAAAAUAUAAAAAAGAACCAGUCAAAGGCUGAAGAAUAUAUAACUGAAAUGAAAAAUAUGCUAGGAGGAAUUAACAACAGAUCAGGUAAUAACAGAAGAAUGUACGAGGGGUCUGGAGACAGAAUAGUGAAAAUCAUCCAGUUGGAACAGCAAAAAGAAAAACACUUUUAUUUUAUUUUAUUUUUUUUUUAAAUUUUUUGCCUUAUUGUCUUUUGUUGUUGUUGUUGUUGUUGUUGUUGCUAUUUCUUGGGCCGCUCCCGCGGCAUAUGGAGGUUCCCAGGCUAGGGGUCGAAUCGGAGCUGUAGCCACCGGCCUACGCCAGAGCCACAGCAACGCAGGAUCCGAGCCGCGUCUGCAACCUACACCACAGCUCACGGCAACGCUGGAUCGUUAACCCACUGAGCAAGGGCAGGGACCGAACCCGCAACCUCAUGGUUCCUAGUCGGAUUCGUUAACCACUGCGCCACGACGGGAACUCCAGAAAAACACUUUUAAAAAAAUGAAAAAA